GGAUGAAGAUGGGAAUAUGAGAAUCUAUAGUUUUGAUAUUAGUGCUAAAAAUUGGACAAUUGUUUGGCAAGCUGUUAAUCAAUUAUGUACAAUACAUGGUACUUGUGGUACAAACUCUAUAUGCAUGUAUGAUGCUUCUACAACUCAAACUUCUUGUGUUUGUCCACCUGGUUUUAGGAAAGACACUAGUAAAUCUUGUGUGAGGAAAAUACCAUUGAUGACGAAAGAAUCGAAAUCUAGUAAGUAUUUACCUCUUGAUUUUGUUAGUUU
rnacentral:misc_RNA from 1 species